rnacentral:rRNA from 1 species
AGUGAACGCUGGCGGUAGGCCUAACACAUGCAAGUCGAACGGCAGCACAGUAAGAGCUUGCUCUUACGGGUGGCGAGUGGCGGACGGGUGAGGAAUACAUCGGAAUCUACUUUUUCGUGGGGGAUAACGUAGGGAAACUUACGCUAAUACCGCAUACGACCUACGGGUGAAAGCAGGGGAUCUUCGGACCUUGCGCGAUUGAAUGAGCCGAUGUCGGAUUAGCUAGUUGGCGGGGUAAAGGCCCACCAAGGCGACGAUCCGUAGCUGGUCUGAGAGGAUGAUCGGCCACACUGGAACUGAGACACGGUCCAGACUCCUACGGGAGGCAGCAGUGGGGAAUAUUGGACAAUGGGCGCAAGCCUGAUCCAGCCAUACCGCGUGGGUGAAGAAGGCCUUCGGGUUGUAAAGCCCUUUUGUUGGGAAAGAAAAGCAGCAGGUUAAUACCACGCUGUUCUGACGGUACCCAAAGAAUAAGCACCGGCUAACUUCGUG